GGACGAUUAGCUCAGUUGGUUAGAGCGUUGCGUUUACAUCGCAAAGGUCGCAGGUUCGAGACCUGCAUCGUCCA
rnacentral:tRNA from 1 species